GACGAACGCUGGCGGCGUGCUUAACACAUGCAAGUCGAACGGUGAACCUCUUCGGAGGGGAUCAGUGGCGAACGGGUGAGUAACACGUGGGCAACCUGCCCCCGGCUCUGGGAUAACUCCAAGAAAUUGGGGCUAAUACCGGAUGUUCACCGCUUCCCGCAUGGGUGGUGGUGGAAAGGGUUUCCGGCUGGGGAUGGGCCCGCGGCCUAUCAGCUUGUUGGUGGGGUAGUGGCCUACCAAGGCGACGACGGGUAGCCGGCCUGAGAGGGUGACCGGCCACACUGGGACUGAGACACGGCCCAGACCCCUACGGGAGGCAGCAGUGGGGAAUAUUGCGCAAUGGGCGGAAGCCUGACGCAGCGACGCCGCGUGGGGGAUGACGGCCUUCGGGUUGUAAACCUCUUUCAGCAGGGACGAAGCGCAAGUGACGGUACCUGCAGAAGAAGCACCGGCCAACUACGUG
rnacentral:rRNA from 1 species